AUACGUAGGGAGCGAGCGUUGUCCGGAAUUACUGGGCGUAAAGGGCGCGUAGGCCGUGUUAUAAGUUAGUUGUAAAACGUGUGGGCUUAACCCGCAUUCGCAACUAAAACUGUAACGCUAGAGGCAUAGAGAGGCAGACGGAAUUCCUGGUGUAGCGGUGAAAUGCGUAGAUAUCAGGAAGAACACCGGUGGCGAAGGCGGUCUGCUGGCUAUGAACUGACGCUGAAGCGCGAAAGCCAGGGGAGCAAACGGGAUUAGAUACCCCGGUAGUCCUGGCAGUAAACGAUGUAUGCUGGGUGUGGGCGUAGCGAUACGUCCGUGCCGAAGUUAACGCGAUAAGCAUACCGCCUGGGGAGUACGGUCGCAAGAUUGAAACUCAAAUGAAUUGACGGGG
rnacentral:rRNA from 1 species